UGUCGGCACAGUCCUUGGCGUGUAGUCUUAAGUACUGGGUUAAUCAUAGCUUUAACCAGCAUCAUCAUCAGCCACAGGUGAUUUCCGCCCAAGAAAAAGCAGUGACUGACUGUAACAGCCACGAAUAACAUUUAGCAAACACCAAGGUGAUACAACUGGUCAUUGGCAGGUGUCACUAAAACCAGGAUCUGACUCACAGACCAGUGUUCUUUGUCACCACCAGCCUGACCAUUCAUUUUGGCAGUCAACAAACAUCCAUUGAGCUCCUUCCAUGAACCAGGCAUUUGGGAUGCAAAGACAUAGCAGAGUAUCCUCCAAUUAUAUAAGAUUUGGGACCCACCACACCUGGAUUCAGCCCUUAGCAGGAUACAGCGAGCCCCAUGGACGUGCAGAUACAAUAUCUAUAUCAACCCGGAAGGCUUCCAGGAGGUAGCCCUUGAAAUAAGACUUGAGC